AUGAAUGCUGUGCUGUUGCUGCCAAUCCUGGAAUGAAGUGAGACUCCCCUCCCCAGCCUCCUGACAGAGUCAUCUCAUUUCUACUUUGAAAAAUUAAAGAACAAAGUCACUCCAUCAGGGCCUACUCGCUGCCCAGAUGAGCACAUACACAUUGGCUGGAUGACAUGAAACUUGCCCUUCUUGUCCUACACAUCCGGAUCUAAAAGUAUACGUUUUGGAAAGAGGCCUUAUUCAUCUAACUACUUUUUAUUUUAAGGAACGUGUACUCUGAACAAGGAAGGCAAAGGACAUGGGGCAGGCAUUGAGGAGGACAACCUUGAGUGGACACAUCUGGGGAAGCGUGUGUGGACGUGGAGCUGCCACAAGAUCAGCAUCUCCUGGAGUGAUCGGCUGAGCCCGGAGGAGGUGGCCCUGGAGAGUUCUGGGAGCCAAAG